rnacentral:misc_RNA from 1 species
UCUCCGUAGGUGAACCUGCGGAGGGAUCAUUACUGAGUGAGGGUUUAACCGCCCGACCUCCAACCCAUUGUUGUCCGACUCUGUUGCCUCGGGGGCGACCCUGCCGUCCGCGGCGGAGCGCCCCCGGGGUCAAUCAAAUACUGCAUUCUCUGCGUCGGAGUAUUAGUAAAUCUAAUCAAAACUUUCAACAACGGAUCUCUUGGUUCUGGCAUCGAUGAAGAACGCAGC